GGAAUUGACGGGGGCCCGCACAAGCGGUGGAGCAUGUGGUUUAAUUCGAAGCAACGCGAAGAACCUUACCAGGUCUUGACAUCCUCUGACAACCCUAGAGAUAGGGCUUUCCCCUUCGGGGGACAGAGUGACAGGUGGUGCAUGGUUGUCGUCAGCUCGUGUCGUGAGAUGUUGGGUUAAGUCCCGCAACGAGCGCAACCCUUGAUCUUAGUUGCCAGCAUUCAGUUGGGCACUCUAAGGUGACUGCCGGUGACAAACCGGAGGAAGGUGGGGAUGACGUCAAAUCAUCAUGCCCCUUAUGACCUGGGCUACACACGUGCUACAAUGGAUGGUACAAAGGGCUGCAAACCUGCGAAGGUAAGCGAAUCCCAUAAAGCCAUUCUCAGUUCGGAUUGUAGGCUGCAACUCGCCUACAUGAAGCCGGAAUCGCUAGUAAUCGCGGAUCAGCAUGCCGCGGUGAAUACGUUCCCG
rnacentral:rRNA from 1 species